rnacentral:rRNA from 1 species
ACGCUCGACACCUACGGAGGCAGCAGUGGGGAAUAUUGCACAAUGGGGGAAACCCUGAUGCAGCGACGCCGCGUGAGCGAAGAAGUAUUUCGGUAUGUAAAGCUCUAUCAGCAGGGAAGAAACUGACGGUACCUGACUAAGAAGCACCGGCUAAAUACGUGCAGCAGCCGCGGUAAUCUGAGCGGGCUGGCAAGGC